AUUCCUGUAGCGCAAUGAAUAGCGCGUUGGUCUUCUGAUCCAAAGGUUGUGGAUUCAAAUCCCACCUGGGCUG